rnacentral:rRNA from 1 species
UACGUAGGGGGCAAGCGUUGUCCGGAAUCAUUGGGCGUAAAGCGCGCGUAGGCGGCCCGGUAAGUCCGUUGUGAAAGUCAAAGGCUCAACCUUUGAACGCCGAUGGAUACUGCCGGACUAGAGUCCGGAAGAGGCGAGUGGAAUUCCCGGUGUAGCGGUGAAAUGCGCAGAUAUCGGGAGGAACACCAAUGGCGAAGGCAGCUCGCUGGGACGGUAUUGACGCUGAGGCGCGAAAGCGUGGGGAGCAAACAGG